rnacentral:sRNA from 1 species
GUCGGGUGUGGUGGCACACCCCUGUAAUCCCAGCAGCUUGGGAGGCUGAGACAGGAGGAUUUUGAGUUCAAAGCCAGCCUCAACAACUUAGUGAGGCCUAAGCAACUUAGUGAGACCCUGUCUCUA